rnacentral:rRNA from 1 species
CAGCAGCCGCGGGAAUACGUAGGGUGCAAGCGUUAAUCGGAAUUACUGGGCGUAAAGCGUGCGCAGGCGGUUUGUUAAGACAGAUGUGAAAUCCCCGGGCUCAACCUGGGAACUGCAUUUGUGACUGGCAAGCUAGAGUCUGGCAGAGGGGGGUGGAAUUCCGCGUGUAGCAGUGAAAUGCGUAGAUAUGCGGAGGAACACCGAUGGCGAAGGCAGCCCCCUGGGCCAACACUGACGCUCAUGCACGAAAGCGUGGGGAGCAAACAGGAUUAGAUACCCCUGUAGUCCCUGUCUCUUAACA